AGACAAAUACAGUCAACGUCUACAUCAUUCCUGUGAUCAGUGUCACGAUAUCCGUAGUUAUGUACGCUUCCACAUAUCGCAAAUUGAAAAAACAGUCAAGGAACAUAGCUUUACAAAACUCAAAUGGAAGUCGUGCUCAAGAGAUACGAAUACUUAAAGAAAAACAGUUUUUACAGACAAUCAUGAUCAUAGCAUGGAUCGCUUUCGUUUGUGUCGUGCCUUCCAUGUUGUUUUUUCAGGCCUACGACGCUUUGGGUUUCGGGCGGGAAAAGAAUUUGGCCUCUGAGAUACUAAACGAAAUGUUUCUUUCCAUUUGUUACAUAAACUUUGCAGUGAACCAUUAAUUUAUGUCACACGUUUGCCAAACUAUCGGAAAACAUUUUAUUUGCUGUAUUGCAAAAGAGGGGCUUGACUUUGAAACGUCGGGGUAAUAUUGAAGUCUUGUGACCACUGAUGCACAACAGACCAUGUAGACUAUAUAUGGCUUACUAGGGUACGUUAACGGAAAUCUUAGCUGAAUGAGAUCGAUGUGAAUGCUCUUUGUUAACGCAUAUAAAGUUCAAUUUGUGUUCAUAUGAG
rnacentral:lncRNA from 1 species